CCGCCGUUAGUUGCCAGCGGUUCGGCCGGGCACUCUAACGGGACUGCCCGCGAAAGGGAGGAAGGAGGGGACGACGUCUGGUCAGCAUGGCCCUUAAGGCCUGGGCGACACACGUGCUACAAUGCCCACUACAAAGCGAAGCCACCCGGCAACGGGGAGCUAAUCGCAAAAAGGUGGGCCCAGUUCGGAUUGGGGUCUGCAACCCGACCCCAUGAAGCCGGAAUCGCUAGUAAUCGCGGAUCAGCCAUGCCGCGGUGAAUACGUUCCCGGGCCUU
rnacentral:rRNA from 1 species